rnacentral:rRNA from 1 species
UACGGGGGGAGCAAGCGUUGUUCGGAUUUACUGGGCGUAAAGGGCGCGUAGGCGGCCACCGCAAGUCGACUGUGAAAUCUCCGGGCUUAACCCGGAAAGGUCAGCCGAUACUGCGGGGCUAGAGUGCAGAAGGGGCAACUGGAAUUCUCGGUGUAGCGGUGAAAUGCGUAGAUACCGAGAGGAACACCUGCGGCGAAGGCGGGUUGCUGGGCUGACACUGACGCUGAGGCGCGAAAGCUAGGGGAGCGAACGGG